GCUCGAUGCCAACGUUUGUGUGCAUCCAGGAGCUCAGAGGAAUCAGCAAAUCUCCCCCAGCAGAGCUACGAAUCCCCAGCCCAGUUCAUUCAGGCGCAGCGGGACCGCCGGGAAUUAAUCCGAGGGGGAAUGCUGUGAAUUCCUGCACUCUCAUUCUUUGCUGGGCGCAGCUGGUGGCGGGGCCACUGCCAGAUGAAAGCAGGGCUGUCAGCUCCCAGCAGCCUGGCUCCAGCUGCAUUCCAGGGCCCGGACUGGCCUCAGCUGGUCCUCGGGUGCCACCUCCCUCUGCCAGGCUACCAAGCCCUGGGGUCUUGGGGUGCAGGUAAACCCUGCUCACCUGUUUACUCCUCUGGAGAGGUGAGGAAUGAUCAGAACAUGCAACUCCUUCUGCAUAGUGGGGGAAUUAUUUACUGCAGAUACAGACUGACAAUAAAUUAGUACACCCCCAAGAGUCUGGAAGGAACAGAGGAGGAGCAGUGAGUCACUCCUGAGUCAUAGAGCCUCCCUGGAUUUAUCCUGGGAUGAUGUACUGCACGCACCACUCCUUGAUCUGGUCUGUCUCGAAAGGACAACCCUGAAUAUAAUUGUGGAAAAAUAAAUGCUAGCAGCAAUCAUUCCUUGGCAGCAGCAGGCUAUAUUAUGUUUUG